rnacentral:rRNA from 1 species
UACAGAGACUGCAAGCGUUAUUCGGAUUCACUGGGCGUAAAGGGUGCGCAGGCGGCCGUGUGUGUGAGGCGUGAAAGCCCGGGGCUUAACCCCGGAAUUGCACCUCAAACUACAUGGCUAGAGCAUUGGAGAGGGUAGCGGAAUUCACGGUGUAGCAGUGAAAUGCGUAGAUAUCGUGAGGAACACCAGAGGCGAAGGCGGCUACCUGGACAAUUGCUGACGCUCAGGCACGAAAGCGUGGGGAGCAAAAGG